GUUGGUGUAGCUCAGUGGUAGAGUGCAUGCUCUGUUUUUAUGAUGUCCUGGGUUCAAUCCCCAGCUCCUCA